rnacentral:rRNA from 1 species
UACGAAGGGUGCAAGCGUUAUUCGGAAUCAUUGGGCGUAAAGGGUGCGUAGACGGUAUAUUAAGUCUAUUGUUAAAUCUUCCGGCCUAACCGGAAAUCUGCAGUGGAUACUGAUGUGCUAGAGGGUGGAAGAGAGAAGUGGAAUUCUCGGAGUAGCGGUAAAAUGCGUAGAUCUCGAGGGGAACACCAAUGGCGAAGGCAGCUUCUUGGUCCACAUCUGACGUUGAGGCACGAAAGCGUGGGGAGCAAACAGGAUUAGAUACCCUGGUAGUCCACGCUGUAAACGAUGAUCACUAGACGUUAGUUCUGUUUUACAGAAUUAGUGUCGUAGCUAACGCGGUAAGUGAUCCGCCUGGGAAUUACGGUCGCAAGAUUAAA